UGCAGAUGAUGCAAAAGAAUAUUUGCUAUCUGAGUGACAGUGCUGACACAUUGCCACCAAGAUCACUGAUGCA
ensembl:snoRNA SNORD24 Small nucleolar RNA SNORD24